AUAAAUUUUUUGUUUAUUUUUAUGUGGUGCUGAGGAUGGAACCCAGUGCCUCGCACAUGCUCUAUCAGGGAGCCACUAACCCAGUCCCUCACCUGGAACUUUUUAAACUGGGGCCUGUUGUGGUCAUAAGGGUUUUGAGGCAAAAGAAGAGUCCAUAGGACAUUUUGCUGUGCCAUAACAGACCCAGCUGAAGAGGAGGAAUGAGUUUAAUAAGACAUUUAGAUAGAGCAUGGAUGUGCCAACGCAGGUACUACACCUCUUAUUACUGAUAUACAGCAGUCCUUGAAUAUAUGUCCUUUCUGACAAUGGAUGGCCUACCGAUAGUGACCUAGUAUCGUCCAUUCCCGUAUCCGUACACUUCUGCUGUUACCUCAUGACAUUUUAGUAGAACAUCCCUUCUCCCUGGACACCCUUAAGCAUGACCAGAUGCCUGGCUGGUGUCUCAGUUCUUAGUCUUAUCUGCCUAUGAUCACUUGUCUGAUGGAACCUGUGAUGAAACAAUUAUAAAAUGCAGGAAAGCAGUGGGCCUACUCAGGUGCAUGAGGGGCUCCCUGGCUGAGUGAAAAAUGUAUUAUAGUGGUUCUGCAUUGCAGAAGGAGAAAUCUGGGAGAGCUUACAGACACUCAGAAUUACCCAUAAACCUCCUGCCCCUCGCCUCCUACCUGCUAUUCUGCCACUUCUUGCUGCUCAGUGUGCCAGGAAGUCACAGCAGGUAUACCUGCCACAUAAAUUCUGGCCUGUCUCUGUUGAAUAAGGAUCUAAGAAAGUAACCCUGCUCCUCUCUGGAGACAGUGCUUCAAACCAAGCCUUACCUUCUACCUUGGAUAGAAGUAUUAUUACUCUGCUCUGUCUCUUUGAUAACUUGGGUCAGCACUAAUACAAUACCCAUAGCAUAAUAAAUGCUCAAUGAAUAUUCUUAACUAGCUGAC
rnacentral:lncRNA from 1 species